rnacentral:rRNA from 1 species
AGACCCGAAACCCGGUGAUCUAGCCAUGGGCAGGUUGAAGGUUGGGUAACACUAACUGGAGGACCGAACCGACUAAUGUUGAAAAAUUAGCGGAUGACCUGUGGCUGGGGGUGAAAGGCCAAUCAAACCGGGAGAUAGCUGGUUCUCCCCGAAAGCUAUUUAGGUAGCGCCUCGUGAAUUCAUCUCCGGGGGUAGAGCACUGUUUCGGCUAGGGGGCCAUCCCGGCUUACCAACCCGAUGCAAACUGCGAAUACCGGAGAAUGUUAUCACGGGAGACACACGGCGGGUGCUAACGUCCGUCGUGAAGAGGGAAACAACCCAGACCGCCAGCUAAGGUCCCAAAGUCAUGGUUAAGUGGGAAACGAUGUGGGAAGGCCCAGACAGCCAGGAUGUUGGCUUAGAAGCAGCCAUCAUUUAAAGAAAGCGUAAUAGCUCACUGGUCGAGUCGGCCUGCGCGGAAGAUGUAACGGGGCUAAACCAUGCACCGAAGCUGCGGCAGCGAACGUAUCACCCAAGACAACUUUGCGGAGUUGACGAUUGACGGAGCGAAGCGACGUCAAAGCGUUCAUUAAAGUCGAGUUGGCUUAGGGAUACGUUCGUUGGGUAGGGGAGCGUUCUGUAAGCCAGUGAAGGUGUGUCGUGAGGCAUGCUGGAGGUAUCAGAAGUGCGAAUGCUGACAUAAGUAACGAUAAAGCGGGUGAAAAGCCCGCUCGCCGGAAGACCAAGGGUUCCUGUCCAACGUUAAUCGGGGCAGGGUGAGUCGACCCCUAAGGCGAGGCCGAAAGGCGUAGUCGAUGGGAAACGGGUUAAUAUUCCCGUACUUGGUGUUACUGCGAAGGGGGGACGGAGAAGGCUAUGUUGGCCGGGCGACGGUUGUCCCGGUUUAAGCGUGUAGGUGUGUGUUCCAGGUAAAUCCGGUU